UUUUCCUCGAUACACUUCACAUCCCACAGUCGAGAAGAACCGAGUAUCAGUACCUGUUUGGAUUGUGGCCGAGACCAACAUAUUUUGGGCGGACUGCUGCUACAAUUGGCUCCUGGAUGCCAUUACUUUGUGCACCGAGCCCAGUACCAGGCUCCCAGCCCAUCCCACGGAGCAUCUGAUUCCCGAGGUUAGUCUCAGGAAUUGGCAGUGCGGAACUCCCUACGUCUACAGGAAACAAUAAAUUGCAGAGUCACAAAAUUUCUGGGAAUGUUAAUAGCUUUCAACUAACUGCAGAGCACAGAGAAGGGUGAAAAUGAUUCAUUAAAGUUAUAGAUCAUUGAUAA